rnacentral:tRNA from 1 species
GCCCUUGUAGCUCAGUUGGCAGAGCACAUCCUCGGUAAGGAUGAGGUCAACAGUUCAAUUCUGUUCGAGGGCU